GGUUAAGCGACUAAGCGUACACGGUGGAUGCCCUGGCAGUCAGAGGUGAUGAAGGACGUGCUAAUCUGCGAUAAGCGUCGGUAAGGUGAUAUGAACCGUUAUAACCGGCGAUUUCCGAAUGGGGAAACCCAGUGUGUUUCGACACACUAUCAUUAACUGAAUCCAUAGGUUAAU
rnacentral:rRNA from 1 species